rnacentral:rRNA from 1 species
GAGUUUGAUCGUGGCUCAGAGUGAACGCUGGCGGCGUGCUUAACACAUGCAAGUCGAACGAGAACGGGUUAUAGCUUGCUAUAAUUGUCAGCUAAGUGGCGCACGGAUGAGUAAUGUAUAGGUAAUAUGCCUUUUACUAAGGGAUAACAGAUGGAAACGUUUGCUAAUACCUUAUACUCCGUUUAUGUAUAAAUGUAAAUGGGAAAGAUUUAUCGGUAAGAGAUUGGCCUGUAUUGUAUCAGUUAGUUGGUGGGGUAAUGGCCUACCAAGACAAUGACGCAUAACUGGUUUGAGAGGAUGAUCAGUCACACUGGAACUGAGACACGGUCCAGACUCCUACGGGAGGCAGCAGUGGGGAAUAUUGCACAAUGGACGGAAGUCUGAUGCAGCAACGCCGCGUGGAGGAUGACACAUUUCGGUGCGUAAACUCCUUUUAUAUAAGAAGAUAAUGACGGUAAUAUAUGAAUAAGCACCGGCUAACUCCGUGCCAGCAGCCGCGGUAAUACGGGGGGUGCAAGCGUUACUCGGAAUCACUGGGCGUAAAGAGCAUGUAGGCGGAUUGAUAAGUUUGAAGUGAAAUCCUAUAGCUUAACUAUAGAACUGCUUUGAAAACUGUUAAUCUAGAAUGUGGGAGAGGUAGAUGGAAUUUCUGGUGUAGGGGUAAAAUCCGUAGAGAUCAGAAGGAAUACCGAUUGCGAAGGCGAUCUACUAGAACACUAUUGACGCUGAGAUGCGAAAGCGUGGGGAGCAAACAGGAUUAGAUACCCUGGUAGUCCACGCCCUAAACGAUGUACACUAGUUGUUGUGAGACUAGAUCUUGCAGUAAUGCAGUUAACACAUUAAGUGUACCGCCUGGGGAGUACGGUCGCAAGAUUAAAACUCAAAGGAAUAGACGGGGACCCGCACAAGCGGUGGAGCAUGUGGUUUAAUUCGACGAUACACGAAGAACCUUACCUGGACUUGACAUAGUAAGAAUGAUUUAGAGAUGAAUUAGUGUCUGCU